AACGAACGCUGGCGGCGUGUCUUAAGCAUGCAAGUCGUGCGGCAAGGCGGGGCAACCCGCCCUAGAGCGGCGGACUGGUGAGUAACGCGUGGGUGAUCUGCCCUUGGGAUGGGGAUAGCCUCUAGAAAUAGAGGGUAAUACCGAAUACGUUCGGUGCUUCGGUGCACCGAGGAAAAGCGCUUCGGCGCUGCCCGAGGAUGAGCCCGCGUCUCAUUAGCUAGUUGGUGAGGUAAUGGCCCACCAAGGCUAUGAUGGGUAGCCGGCCUGAGAGGGUGAACGGCCACACUGGGACUGAGAUACGGCCCAGACUCCUACGGGUGGCAG
rnacentral:rRNA from 1 species